AGUGAACGCUGGCGGCGUGCCUAAUACAUGCAAGUCGAACGGAGUGGCGCGCGGGUGAGUAAUGUAUAGCUAAUCUUCCCUACACUAGAGGACAACAGUUGGAAACGACUGCUACUACUCUAUAGUGUAGGAUGAGGGUAUAUUGUAUCAGCUAGUUGGUGAGGUAAUGGCUCCCGAAGGCUAUGACGCAUAACUGGUCUGAGAGGAUGAUCAGUCACACUGGAACUGAGACACCGGCCAGAAUCCUACGGGAGGGAGCAGUAGGGAAUAUUGCUCAAUGGGGGAAACCCUGAAGCAGCAACGCCGCGUGGAGGAUGACAAUUUGGGGAGCGUAAACUCCUUUUGUUAGGGAAGCGGUACCUAACGAAUAAGCACCGGCUAACUCCGUGCCAGCAGCCGCGGUAAUUC
rnacentral:rRNA from 1 species